rnacentral:tRNA from 1 species
GCCGAAAUAGCUCAGUUGGGAGAGUGUUAGACUGAAGAUUUAAAGGUCCCUGGUUCGAUCCCGGGUUUCGGCA